rnacentral:rRNA from 1 species
CACGUAGGAGGCGAGCGUUGUCCGGAAUCAUUGGGCGUAAAGAGCGCGCAGGCGGCUUGGCAAGUCGGGUGUGAAAUCCCGGGGCUCAACCCCGUGACUGCAUCCGAUACUGUCAGGCUAGAGGUAGGUAGGGGAGAUCGGAAUUCCUGGUGUAGCGGUGAAAUGCGCAGAUAUCAGGAGGAACACCGGUGGCGAAGGCGGAUCUCUGGGCCUUACCUGACGCUGAGGCGCGAAAGCGUGGGGAGCAAACAGG